GUAAGUCACAUUCAACAUCCCGAAUGGAUUGAAGCCAUCUGAUGCAAGUCCCAGCCUAACAUUACGUGGAUCCAAUGCAAAUUCAUCCUUAUACUUCUCAUCUACGUGCUUCCAUGCCUUCGAGUUAGCUGGGUGCCUCACUUUCCCAUCUUGAACCAAUUCUUCCUUGUGCCAAUACAUAUACUUGGAUGUGGUCUCAUUCUUAUAUAAUCUUUGCAAUUGAGUAAUAAGUGGAAAAUACCUUAGUAUUUUACGAGGAAAGAGCUUCUUCUUGACUCCACCAGUGCCACUACACUCGCCAACAAGCCCCUCUGAAUCUUAAUUCUUCCACCUACUCUCCCCA
rnacentral:lncRNA from 1 species